UGAGUAAAGUGGCGUACGGGUGAGUAACACGUGGAUCAUCUACCUCUUGGUGGGGAAUAACCCUGGGAAACCGGGGCUAAUACCGCAUAAGCCUGUGAAGGGAAAGCAGCAAUGCGCCGAGAGAGGAGUCCGCGGCCGAUUAGCUAGUUGGUAGGGUAAUGGCCUACCAAGGCAAUGAUCGGUAGCCGGCCUGAGAGGGCACACGGCCACACUGGCACUGAAACACGGGCCAGACUCCUACGGGAGGCAGCAGUGGGGAAUCUUGCACAAUGGAGGAAACUCUGAUGCAGCGACGCCGCGUGAGCGAUGAAGCCCUUCGGGGUGUAAAGCUCUUUCGACGGGAACGAUAAUGACGGUACCCGGAGAAGAAGCUGCGGCUAACUACGUGCCAGCAGCCGCGGUAAUACGUAGGCAGCAAGCGUUGUUCGGAAUUACUGGGCGUAAAGAGUGUGUAGGCGGUUCUCUAUGUUCGGUGUGAAAUCUCCCGGCUUAACUGGGAGGGUGCGCCGAAAACUGGAGGGCUUGAGUAUGGGAGAGGAAAGCGGAAUUCCUGGUGUAGCGGUGAAAUGCGUAGAUAUCAGGAGGAACACCUGCGGUGUAGACGGCUUUCUGGACCAUCACUGACGCUGAGACACGAAAGCGUGGGUAGCAAACAGGAUUAGAUACCCUGGUAGUCCACGCCCUAAACGAUGCAUACUUGGUGUGAGCCGUUCAUUCGGUUCGUGCCCGGAGCUACGCGUUAAGUAUGC
rnacentral:rRNA from 1 species